UUAAAAAGCUCGUAGUUGGAUUUCGGUUAAGAGCGACCGGUCCGCCGUUUGGUGUGCACUGGUUGGUUUUAACUUCCUGUAGAGGACGUGCUCUGGGCUUAACGGUCUGGACUCGGAGUCUACGUGGUUACUUUGAAAAAAUUAGAGUGUUCAAAGCGGGCUUACGCUUGAAUAUUUCAGCAUGGAAUAACACUAUAGGACUCCUGUCCUAUUUCGUUGGUCUCGGGACGGGAGUAAUGAUUAAGAGGAACAGUUGGGGGCAUUCGUAUUUCAUUGUCAGAGGUGAAAUUCUUGGAUUUAUGAAAGACGAACUUCUGCGAAAGCAUUUGCCAAGGAUGUUUUCAUUAAUCAAGAACGAAAGUUGGGGGCUCGAAGAUGAUUAGAUACCAUCCUAGUCUCAACCAUAAACGAUGCCGACUAGGGAUUGGCGGAUGUUAAUUGAUGACUCCGCCAGCACCUUAUGAGAAAUCAAAGUUUUUGGGUUCCGGGGGGAGUAUGGUCGCAAGGCUGAAACUUAAAGGAAUUGACGGAAGGGCACCACCAGGCGUGGAGCCUGCGGCUUAAUUUGAC
rnacentral:rRNA from 1 species